GAAAAGCUUGAGGCUUCCUCACCAUUCACCUCUUUUCUCUCUCCAGCUUUCCAACAUAUCUGUCAGAUCCUGCAUCUUUCAUCGUCCGUUGUGAGUCUUCGUGAGGAGGGUCACUUUCAGGUUUAAAAAGUUUCGUAGAUGUGUCAUAUGUAUUAAAUCAAAUUUAAAAAAAUGCCUAGUUGAGUCAACCAUCAGAGCGUAGUGCCUCCCAUCAGAAGGCACAGCCUCCAGGAUGGCAAUACUGUCACCCAGUGCUGGCCCAGCCAUGACCAAGGGCAGUGGCGCCAUGUCUGGAUGAUCUCACUUCAAGGCAAAAGUGGUGCCACAGAGGAGCGUUACCUGCAGCCUUUCAGAGACAGGAUUGGCACCAACUUUCUUCUGCUGGUUUUCUAUGAUCAUGUUUUCCUGCUGGGGUCACCUCUUGUCAUGAGAAGACAGCACAUCAGUCUCUCCUUAUAAUACAUCAAAGCCCCUCCACCGAGUUCCUGAACCCCGUCGGCCUGCAGGACGGACCGACAAGUGGCGCCCAGCGUGGGACACGAGUACGAGGGAUCCUCUGAGGGACCGAUCCAUCAGUAAGAUGGGAAAGCUGAGGCAUAAAGGGCAGGAUAACCUGCCAGGGUCACAGCGUAAGUGAUAGAACCAAGCCUCAAACUCAGGGAACUGUGGCACUGAUGUUGCUUGCUUGAGAAAAGGCCAGAGCCGAGUGCCACAGCAGAUGGCAUGUUCUCUCACCACCGGCAGGGCCAAGGCAAUCCUGGCUGGUCACACCCUCCACCUGGAGAAAGGUCUGGUGCUCCUUCUUCCCUCUCCUUCCCCCAGACUCCAAAAUUCCUGCAGUUCAUUAGGAGAGAUGCCGCAUUUAACACUCAGCGUGGCUACUUCACUGAGCAAUUGCCAAGAACGGCAUUUUUAUCAAGACAAAACACAAUCAAAUUUGAAAGGAAAUGUGUUUUGUAUGUUCAUCAGUAUCAGAGAAUUAUUGUUACAUGGGU